AGAGUUUGAUCAUGGCUCAGGAUGAACGCUGGCGGCGUGCUUAACACAUGCAGGUCGAACGAAGCACUUAAGAUUGACUCUUCGGAUGAUUUCUUUUGUGACUUAGUGGCGGACGGGUGAGUAACGCGUGGGUAACCUGCCUCACACAGGGGGAUAACAGUUAGAAAUGACUGCUAAUACCGCAUAACCCGAUAGGAUCGCAUGAUCCAGACGGAAAAGAUUUAUCGGUGUGAGAUGGACCCGCGUCUGAUUAGCUAGUUGGUGAGGUAACGGCCACCAAGGCGACGAUCAGUAGCCGGCCUGAGAGGGUGAACGGCCACAUUGGGACUGAGACACGGCCCAAAUCCUACGGGAGCA
rnacentral:rRNA from 1 species